UGUAGCAAUACAAUUGAUGGCGACCGGCAAACGGGUGCGGAACACGUACACAACCUUCCAAUAAGUGGGGAAUAGCCCAGAGAAAUUUGGAUUAAUACCCCGUAACAUAGCGAUGUGGCAUCACAUUGCUAUUAUAGAUUUUUCGCUCAUUGAUGGGUGUGCGGCUGAUUAGAUAGUUGGCGGGGUAACGGCCCACCAAGUCUACGAUCAGUAGCUGAUGUGAGAGCAUGAUCAGCCACACGGGCACUGAGACACGGGCCCGACUCCUACGGGAGGCAGCAGUAAGGAAUAUUGGACAAUGGACGCAAGUCUGAUCCAGCCAUGCCGCGUGAAGGAUUAAGGUCCUCUGGAUUGUAAACUUCUUUUAU
rnacentral:rRNA from 1 species